GAGCGGUAGAGAGAAGCUUGCUUCUCUUGAGAGCGGCGGACGGGUGAGUAAUGCCUAGGAAUCUGCCUGGUAGUGGGGGAUAACGUUCGGAAACGGACGCUAAUACCGCAUACGUCCUACGGGAGAAAGCAGGGGACCUUCGGGCCUUGCGCUAUCAGAUGAGCCUAGGUCGGAUUGGCUAGUUGGUGGGGUAAUGGCUCACCAAGGCGACGAUCCGUAACUGGUCUGAGAGGAUGAUCAGUCACACUGGAACUGAGACACGGUCCAGACUCCUACGGGAGGCAGCAGUGGGGAAUAUUGGACAAUGGGCGAAAGCCUGAUCCAGCCAUGCCGCGUGUGUGAAGAAGGUCUUCGGAUUGUAAAGCACUUUAAGUUGGGAGGAAGGGUUGUAGAUUAAUACUCUGCAAUUUUGACGUUACCGACAGAAUAAGCACCGGCUAACUCUGUG
rnacentral:rRNA from 1 species